rnacentral:rRNA from 1 species
CAGUAGGGAAUCUUCCGCAAUGGACGAAAGUCUGACGGAGCAACGCCGCGUGAGUGACGAAGGUUUUCGGAUCGUAAAACUCUGUUGUUAGGGAAGAACAAGUACCGUUCGAACAGGGCGGUACCUUGACGGUACCUAACCAGAAAGCCACGGCUAACUACGUGCCAGCAGCCGCGGUAAUACGUAGGUGGCAAGCGUUGUCCGGAAUUAUUGGGCGUAAAGCGCGCGCAGGCGGUCUCUUAAGUCUGAUGUGAAAGCCCACGGCUCAACCGUGGAGGGUCAUUGGAAACUGGGGGACUUGAGUACUGGAGAGGAGAGUGGAAUUCCAUGUGUAGCGGUGAAAUGCGUAGAUAUAUGGAGGAACACCAGUGGCGAAGGCGGCUCUCUGGCCAGUAACUGACGCUGAGGCGCGAAAGCGUGGGGAGCAAACAGGAUUAGAUACCCUGGUAGUCCACGCCGUAAACGAUGAGUGCUAGGUGUUGGGGGGUUCCACCCUCAGUGCUGACGUUAACACAUUAAGCACUCCGCCUGGGGAGUACGACCGCAAGGUUGAAACUCAAAGGAAUUGACGG